CCUACGGGUGGCUGCAGUGAGGAAUAUUGGUCAAUGGCCGGAAGGCUGAACCAGCCAUGCCGCGUGAAGGUCAGUGCCCUAUGGGCGUUAAACUUCUUUUGUGCGGGAGCAAUAAUGGUCACGUGUGGCCAGACGAGAGUACCGUACGAAUAAGCAUCGGCUAACUCCGUGCCAGCAGCCGCGGUAAUACGGGGGAUGCAAGCGUUAUCCGGAUUUAUUGGGUUUAAAGGGUGCGUAGGCUGUGAGGUAAGUCAGCGGUGAAAUGCCCCCGCUCAACGGGGUGAAGUGCCAUUGAUACUGCCUUGCUGGAAUGCGGAUGCCGUGGGAGGAAGGUGUGGUGUAGCGGUGAAAUGCGUAGAUAUCAGGAGGAACACCGGUGGCGAAGGCGGCCUGCUGGACUGCGACUGACGUUGAGGCCCGAAAGCGUGGGGAGCAAACAGGAUUAGAUACCCUGGUAGUC
rnacentral:rRNA from 1 species